rnacentral:rRNA from 1 species
GACGAACGCUGGCGGCGUGCUUAACACAUGCAAGUCGAACGCUGAAGCUCAGCUUGCUGGGUGGAUGAGUGGCGAACGGGUGAGUAACACGUGAGUACCCUGCCCUCUUCUUUGGGAUAACGCCCGGAAACGGGUGCUAAUACUGGAUAUUCACUGAUUCUCGCAUGGGGGUUGGUGGAAAGGUUUUUUCUGGUGGGGGAUGGGCUCGCGGCCUAUCAGCUUGUUGGUGGGGUGAUGGCCUACCAAGGCUUUGACGGGUAGCCGGCCUGAGAGGGUGACCGGUCACAUUGGGACUGAGAUACGGCCCAGACUCCUACGGGAGGCAGCAGUGGGGAAUAUUGCACAAUGGGCGAAAGCCGGAUGCAGCGACGCCGCGUGAGGGAUGGAGGCCUUCGGGUUGUAAACCUCUUUCGCUCAUGGUCAAGCCGCAGCUUUGGGUUGUGGUGAGGGUAGUGGGUAAAGAAGCGCCGGCUAACUACGUG